rnacentral:rRNA from 1 species
AACUCUUAGCGGUGGAUCACUUGACUCGUGGAUCGAUGAAGAACGCAGCUAGCUGCGAUAAAUAGUGCGAAUUGCAGACGCAUUGAGCACAAAAAUUUCGAAUGCACAUUGCACCAUCGGGUUCAUUCCCAAUGGUACGUCUGGUUGAGGGU